rnacentral:lncRNA from 1 species
ACUCAGGUGAUGUUGGUGCAGCUAAUCCACAGACCACACUUUGAGCAGCAAAGAUUUAAGUAGUGAUUUAUCUAAUUGUUUGGUUAUGACUGUGACUGUAGAGUCUAUGAGCUCUUAGUCCUGACUGGUCAUGGUUGUCUUUUAAUGAUGAUCUAGAAGCCUAUGAGAGAGGAGUUGUCCAAUAUUAUUUUAUAUGUGUUUCUUCCCACAAACUCUCUUGAAAUCUGAAGGAUUAUAUAAUGCAUCAUAGGAAGAACUGUAAUGUGUAAUCCAUAAUCUAAAGUCUAAUCCAUAAUCCCACCGACUCUCCAGGUUUCCCUUUAGGGAAGGUAUUUAGUGAGAUCCAGGUGCUCGCCAUGAUCAACAACAGGUUGCCGUGGGAGCAUUCGCUGCACCGUUACUCAUCCGGUUAUGAGGUUUAACCUACCGACCAAUGUUGCCCGUACUGUCAUUUCAGAUCACCCAUGGAAAAUGUGGCUCCUUUUGUUAAGAUUAGGUCUGAGCUAACAUCUGCAUCAGUCUUCCUCCAUUUUAUAUGUGGGACACUACUACAGCAUGGCUGAUGAGUGAUGUAUGUCCUUGCCUGUGAUAUGAACCCAUGAACCCAGGCCAGCAAAGAGGAGUGCACCAAACUCAAUGACUACACCAUGGGGCCAGCCCCUCAAAUAAAGUGUUUUUAUGAAAAAAUAUUUUACAUGGUCAAAUUUGUUUUUUACUUAAUAUUUCAAAUAAAGUGCUUUUAUCAAAUAUUA